AUGAACGCUGGCGGCGUGCCUAAUACAUGCAAGUCGCGCGAACAGACGAGGAGCUUGCUCCUCUGACGUUAGCGGCGGACGGGUGAGUAACACGUGGAUAACCUACCUAUAAGACUGGGAUAACUUCGGGAAACCGGAGCUAAUACCGGAUAAUAUAUUGAACCGCAUGGUUCAAUAGUGAAAGACGGUUUUGCUGUCACUUAUAGAUGGAUCCGCGCCGCAUUAGCUAGUUGGUAAGGUAACGGCUUACCAAGGCACCGAUGCGUAGCCGACCUGAGAGGGUGAUCGGCCACACUGGAACUGAGACACGGUCCAGACUCCUACGGGAGGCAGCAGUAGGGAAUCUUCCGCAAUGGGCGAAAGCCUGACGGAGCAACGCCGCGUGAGUGAUGAAGGUCUUCGGAUCGUAAAACUCUGUUAUUAGGGAAGAACAAAUGUGUAAGUAACUAUGCACGUCUUGACGGUACCUAAUCAGAAAGCCACGGCUAACUACGUG
rnacentral:rRNA from 1 species